UGUGGCGGGAAAGGGCUGCGGCGCUGGGCCCGGGCCCGGAAUCGAGGACGGCGGCGCCAGGGGGCUUCCCGCCGGUGCUGGGGGGCCCGGUGGGUCACCUGCUGGGGGAGGAGCCCGCCUGCCGGGCCGCGCGGUGGCCCGAGCGGUGCAGCGGGGCCUCGGGGGCUGACGGUGCAGCGGCGUGCUGAGCAGGGCGGGGCCUCCGUCCUCGGCCCGCUUCGGCCCGGGCGCCGGUGCCGGGCCCCUGGCGUUCGUCCUAGUUCUGUGAGACGCAGCUGGGUGAGCUCGAGGAUGGGACUCAGACAUUCCCCGCGGGCAGCGUCCCGCCCCGCCAGAAGUGCAUCCCGGAAGCAGGGACCUGGCUGUCCCAGGUGAGCCAGCAGCGAGGAAGAGGAGUGUUAACCCUGGAGGUCACAAUCGGGGUCCCAGAAGAAAGCGCCGCCGAGGGGCGCAGAUGCAAGCGGCCAGAGGAGCCUGGCGAGGCCCACGCCACGAGAAGGACCGUGUCCCGAGCCAGUGCCAUCGGGAAGACUUCACACCGAAGGAGCCCUCGGAGAUGCUUCCCACGGCUCCAAGAGCACAGGCAACGCUGGAGCUGAUCCCAACCCGGGAGGGCCGGUGACAGCUGGGAAAGGCCCAGAAGAGAUGCUCGCAGCGCAUCCUAGGUUACACCACGGAACAGGCAAGCCCUGCUCAUACUGCUCCUGUGUCCUGCAACUAUCAAGAUUGCUUUGCAUGGGGACGCCUGCGUGGCUCAGUGGGUGAGCGCUGCCUUUGGCUCAGGGCGUGAUCCCGGGGUCCUGGGAUCGAGUCCUGCAUCAGGCUCUCUGUGGGAAGCCUGCUUCUCCCUCUGCCUGUAUCUCCACCCCUCUCUCUCUGUCUCUCAUGAAUAAAUAAAAUCUUUUAAAAUAAAAUAAAAAAUAAAAAGAUUGCUUUGCAUA